UUGCCUGUGUCAAAAGAGGACAGGGCAAUGAACUCAGGCCCCGAGGGGACCUCCAGUCCCCAUCCAGAGGCAGUCCCUCAGCCCCACUCACCUGCACAUAACCCAUGGAGGGCGGUCCGAAGUCGUUAAACAGGGGUCUGAAAGGGGCAGCGGCUCCCGGCACCGAGCCCGAUGGCGAUGGGACACUUCCGGCUGCAACAUGCGCGAGUAAGAGGUCAGCGCGGGGCCAGGACGCCUCCUCCCAGCUUUCCAAGCCCCCGACCGGAUUCGCCCGAUUCCCUCCAAACGGAUGCUUCACUUCAGGAGCUCAACUUCAGGGACAAACCCCUCCCCCUGCACUCCACCAACUAGCCCUUACGUGACCACGCCCACUUCACAGGCCAGCAAACUGAGGCUCAGCGAGGGUAGGCGGCAGGCCCAGUGUUGCAGAACUCAGGCCGUCUUCUCCACCACCCGGGCAGGCCUUGUGCUGGACACUGAUGAUAUGGAAAUGAACUGGCCAUGGCUUCUGCCCUCAAGGAGCUCUUAGUCUCAAGGAGAGACGGACAGGGAAGCGAAGGCACACAGUAUAGUACGACAAUGGGAAGUCUGGUACAGGAUGCAUUGGAAUUUGGAGGAAGGAGCCUGCUUGGUGACAUCACAGAAGUCUUCCCAGAGGAAGUGGCAUUCAAUUGGCAAAUGAGCAAAUUAACUGUGAUGUAUCCAUAUAAUGAACUAUUAUUCAGCAAUAAAAGGAAAUCAUCUAUCUCACCAUGAAAAGACACGGAGCGGCAUAUUGCUAAGUGAAAGAAGCCAGUCUGAAAAAACCAUGUACUGUAUGAUUCCAAUUGUAGGGCGUUCUGGAAAAAAGGAAACUUCUACAUAAGAAUGGGGCUCUAAGGACCACGGCAGCGCUGGAGCGAGGGGACGUGUCGUUUGGGUCCCCCGGAAGCAGACGCUGAGGUGAAGUCAGGAAUGCAAGAGAGAGAGGGCGAGGAAGCGGGCUUGGGCAGGAGAGCCUCUGAGCGGACGCCGACCUGGCGCCUGCCGUGCUCGGGCGUUUGAGGCGGGAACCCCAAAGCUGAUGUGUAUCCGAAGGGGCCCGUCUGUCACUCACUCCUCCCAGCUGACCUUCCAGCUCUUUCUCCCUCCCAGAGUACGUGAGGUUGGCCUGGGAAAAGCCCUCACUCCCUUGUGCUACCCUCUGUUGUAACCCCGGCCCUGACGGGAGCCCUUUUGCGGGAUGAGGGGCCAGUGCACAUCCCAGCUCUGGGAGAAGCAGGUGGCAUUUACUCAUCUAGGGACGUUUCCUGAUACUGGCUCUGGGAGGGGCCCAGAAUCCAGAAAGGGCCCCUGCCCACCUGGAGUUCAUGGUCGAGGGAUCUUAUAACUUUUAGGGGCCCAAACACUGGGUCCUGCAGGUUAAACAAAUGAGAAGCAGAAGCCAUCCCCUCAGGCUCCAAGACACUUUACUCUCAGAGAGACAGGGACGGGCAGUGGGGCUUGGUGGGGAA